UACGAAGGGGGCGAGCGUUGUUCGGAUUUACUGGGCGUAAAGGGCGCGCAGGCGGUCUUGAAAGUCAGGCGUGAAAGCCCCGGGCUUAACCUGGGAAUUGCGCUUGAUACUCUGAGACUGGAGUACGGGAGAGGAGAGUGGAAUUCCCAGUGUAGAGGUGAAAUUCGUAGAUAUUGGGAAGAACACCAGUGGCGAAGGCGGCCUUCUGGACAGUGACUGACGCUGAGAUGCGAAAGCGUGGGGAGCAAACAGG
rnacentral:rRNA from 1 species